rnacentral:rRNA from 1 species
CACGUGUAGCAGUGAAAUGCGUAGAGAUGUGGAGGAAUACCGAUGGNGUAGGCAGCCCCCUGGGAUAACACUGACGUUCAUGCUCGAAAGCGUGGGUAGCAAACAGGAUUAGAUACCCUGGUAGUCCACGCCCUAAACGAUGUCAAUUAGCUGUUGGGCAACUUGAUUGCUUAGUAGCGUAGCUAACGCGUGAAAUUGACCGCCUGGGGAGUACGGUCGCAAGAUUAAAACUCAAAGGAAUUGACGGGGACCCGCACAAGCGGUGGAUGAUGUGGAUUAAUUCGAUGCAACGCGAAGAACCUUACCUGGUCUUGACAUGUACGGAAUCUCUCAGAGACGGGAGAGUGCCUUCGGGAGCCGUAACACAGGUGCUGCAUGGCUGUCGUCAGCUCGUGUCGUGAGAUGUUGGGUUAAGUCCCGCAACGAGCGCAACCCUUGUCAUUAGUUGCCAUCAUUAAGUUGGGCACUCUAAUGAGACUGCCGGUGACAAACCGGAGGAAGGUGGGGAUGACGUCAAGUCCUCAUGGCCCUUAUGACCAGGGCUUCACACGUCAUACAAUGGUCGGUACAGAGGGUUGCCAAGCCGCGAGGUGGAGCCAAUCUCACAAAACCGAUCGUAGUCCGGAUUGCACUCUGCAACUCGAGUGCAUGAAGUCGGAAUCGCUAGUAAUCGCAGGUCAGCAUACUGCGGUGAAUACGUUCCCGGGUCUUGUACACACCGCCCGUCACACCAUGGGAGUGGGGGAUACCAGAAGUAGGUAGGAUAACCGCAAGGAGUCCG